UAAUCCAAGGUGGGAAGAGUGCACCCAAUUAUUCUCUCCGCAGUCUUUACAACCCUGGACAGCAUUGUUUUUUCCACCACCAAACAGCUUUUGCCUUCAAAAAGUUAUUCCUGAUGCUUAGUCCUAACCUCAAUCUCUUUCUCUCUCUUCCAUCAGACGGGAGCAAUGCAUGAAAUGAGAUCCAAAUGCGGCCGAGAUCGACAGUGGAGCAGCUCCCACGUUUUGUAGCUCUGUGGUGUUUCCCCCGCUUUCUCUUCCGUGUCCCGGGCAAAUUAACGAAUCGAGAAAACCCAAAGAAAGAAAUAAGUAUGUAAACAACCCUCGCGCAAGUGGCCUUCUCGGAUCCUGUCAAGGCAGGUCGGCGAAGCUCAGAAGACACCGAACACCCUUUGUAACUUAUGCAAACUGAUUCCAAACGAAAUCGGAUUGGAUUUUCUUUUUCAAAAGAGCGUCAGCAACAAAAAUGCAGCAGUUUAUUCCGCCGCUAAUUUUCGCCUCCCAGAUUUGCAUAGAAAGAUUUGCUGAAUCCAACACUCCCUUAGCUGCCGCUUCCUCUCUCUCUUCUCCCCCCCCCAAAAAAAAAUAUAUGCAGAAGCAUCUCUGGACCUUCAGUCAGUCUCUCAUGCCGUCCUUCGUUUCAUGGCUGCCGCAUUUUGCUUUUUCAGAACUUUGCAAGGAAUCGGGGUGGGCGUUUGAGGGAGAUUGACGCCCGGGGCAGGCAUCUACGUCUGCGAACAUGCCAUCCAUUUAAAGCACAUCCAAAGCCUCUUCCACACACACACACACCCAGGCCAAUCAGCCUGGGAACUGUAGUUUGCUAUGGGUGCUGGGAAUUGUAGCGCUAUAGGAGUAAACUGCAGUUCUCGGGGUACGUGUGCUUUAAAUGUAUAAUGUGUGUGCCAUUUUGCUUCAUUUUUUAAAAGUGCAUUCUGUUUCAUCCCCUCAAAAAAAUCUGGAGAGGAACUUAUCGUAA